UACGGAGGAUCCAAGCGUUAUCCGGAAUCAUUGGGUUUAAAGGGUCCGUAGGCGGUUUGGUAAGUCAGUGGUGAAAGCCCAUCGCUCAACGGUGGAACGGCCAUUGAUACUGCCAGACUUGAAUUACUAGGAAGUAACUAGAAUAUGUAGUGUAGCGGUGAAAUGCUUAGAUAUUACAUGGAAUACCAAUUGCGAAGGCAGGUUACUACUAGUGGAUUGACGCUGAUGGACGAAAGCGUAGGUAGCGAACAGG
rnacentral:rRNA from 1 species